UUCACAAAUUAACAUUAAUUCCAGUAACCGCAUGUCUUUGGACUGUGGACCCUGGAGUACAAAGAAUAUGCUUACCACACGGAAAUGCUCUGGCUAGAUGGUGGAUUUGACCCAGGACGUUCUUGCUGUGAGGAUUGAUUUUCAGUACUGGAGGGCUGAAAAUGGACUUUCCCACCCCGUUCAUGAGUGAGCCAUGUUGAGAAGAAGCCAAAGACUUCAGUCUAAUGGCUAUUACGGCCAAGGAGAGCCGUUAAUCUCCUACAAGGUGACUUUACACAGGUUAGUGCUGGUCUACAUGUUCUUUGUUGUCAUCCACUGACAUAAAUGGUAAAUGGUA